rnacentral:rRNA from 1 species
AUUGCAGGCUGCAACUCGCCUGCAUGAAGUUGGAAUUGCUAGUAAUCGCGAAUCAGAAUGUCGCGGUGAAUACGUUCCCGGGCCUUGUACACACCGCCCGUCACACCAUGAGAGUCGAUAACACCCGAAGCCUGUGAGCUAACCGCAAGGGGGCAGCAGUCGAAGGUGGGGGUUGAUGAUUGGGGGUGAAGUCGUAACAAGGUAAC